rnacentral:rRNA from 1 species
GUCACACUAUCAUUAACUGAAUCCAUAGGUUAAUGAGGCGAACCGGGGGAACUGAAACAUCUAAGUACCCCGAGGAAAAGAAAUCAACCGAGAUUCCCCCAGUAGCGGCGAGCGAACGGGGAGGAGCCCAGAGCCUGAAUCAGCAUGUGUGUUAGUGGAAGCGUCUGGAAAGGCGCGCGAUACAGGGUGACAGCCCCGUACACAAAAGCGCAUGUGCUGUGAGCUCGAUGAGUAGGGCGGGACACGUGGUAUCCUGUCUGAAUAUGGGGGGACCAUCCUCCAAGGCUAAAUACUCCUGACUGACCGAUAGUGAACCAGUACCGUGAGGGAAAGGCGAAAAGAACCCCGGCGAGGGGAGUGAAAAAGAACCUGAAACCGUGUACGUACAAGCAGUGGGAGCACAGGUUUACCUGUGUGACUGCGUACCUUUUGUAUAAUGGGUCAGCGACUUAUAUUCUGUAGCAAGGUUAACCGUAUAGGGGAGCCGUAGGGAAACCGAGUCUUAACCGGGCGUUAAGUUGCAGGGUAUAGACCCGAAACCCGGUGAUCUAGCCAUGGGCAGGUUGAAGGUUGGGUAACACUAACUGGAGGACCGAACCGACUAAUGUUGAAAAAUUAGCGGAUGACCUGUGGCUGGGGGUGAAAGGCCAAUCAAACCGGGAGAUAGCUGGUUCUCCCCGAAAGCUAUUUAGGUAGCGCCUCGUGAAUUCAUCUCCGGGGGUAGAGCACUGUUUCGGCUAGGGGGCCAUCCCGGCUUACCAACCCGAUGCAAACUGCGAAUACCGGAGAAUGUUAUCACGGGAGACACACGGCGGGUGCUAACGUCCGUCGUGAAGAGGGAAACAACCCAGACCGCCAGCUAAGGUCCCAAAGUCAUGGUUAAGUGGGAAACGAUGUGGGAAGGCCCAGACAGCCAGGAUGUUGGCUUAGAAGCAGCCAUCAUUUAAAGAAAGCGUAAUAGCUCACUGGUCGAGUCGGCCUGCGCGGAAGAUGUAACGGGGCUAAACCAUGCACCGAAGCUGCGGCAGCGACGCUUAUGCGUUGUUGGGUAGGGGAGCGUUCUGUAAGCCUGUGAAGGUGUGUCGUGAGGCAUGCUGGAGGUAUCAGAAGUGCGAAUGCUGACAUAAGUAACGAUAAAGCGGGUGAAAAGCCCGCUCGCCGGAAGACCAAGGGUUCCUGUCCAACGUUAAUCGGGGCAGGGUGAGUCGACCCCUAAGGCGAGGCCGAAAGGCGUAGUCGAUGGGAAACGGGUUAAUAUUCCCGUACUUGGUGUUACUGCGAAGGGGGGACGGAGAAGGCUAUGU